AUUGAACGCUGGCGGCAUGCCUUACACAUGCAAGUCGAACGGCAUCGCGGGAAAGCUUGCUUUCCUGGCGGCGAGUGGCGAACGGGUGAGUAACACAUCGGAACGUACCGGCUAGUGGGGGAUAACCCGUCGAAAGACGGGCUAAUACCGCAUACGCUCUUCGGAGGAAAGCAGGGGACCUUUGGGCCUUGCGCUAGCCGAGCGGCCGAUGUCCGGUUAGCUAGUUGGUGGGGUAAAGGCCUACCAAGGCGACGAUCGGUAGCGGGUCUGAGAGGACGAUCCGCCACACUGGGACUGAGACACGGCCCAGACUCCUACGGGAGGCAGCAGUGGGGAAUCUUGGACAAUGGGGGCAACCCUGAUCCAGCAAUGCCGCGUGGGUGAAGAAGGCCUUCGGGUUGUAAAGCCCUUUCGGCAGGGAAGAAAUCGGCGGGGCGAAUAACCCUGCUGGAUGACGGUACCUGCAGAAGAAGCACCGGCUAACUACGUG
rnacentral:rRNA from 1 species